UGGAGAAUCCUUGUCACUGUCCCAGA
rnacentral:piRNA from 1 species